GUGUGCAAUCAUACCAACGUUAAUGCACUGGAUCACAUCAGAACUCUGCAAUUAAACACGCUUGGGAUAGAGUAGUACUGGGAUGGGUGACCUCCCAGGAAGUCCUAGUGUUGCAUCCU
rnacentral:rRNA from 1 species